AAGCAAGAGCGACGCAAGAUGGCAGCCACCACGGGCUCGGGAGUAAAAGUCCCUCGCAAUUUCCGACUGUUGGAAGAACUCGAAGAAGGCCAGAAAGGAGUAGGAGAUGGCACAGUUAGCUGGGGUCUAGAAGAUGACGAAGACAUGACACUUACAAGAUGGACAGGGAUGAUAAUUGGGCCUCCAAGAACAAUUUAUGAAAACCGAAUAUACAGCCUUAAAAUAGAAUGUGGACCUAAAUACCCAGAAGCACCCCCCUUUGUAAGAUUUGUAACAAAAAUUAAUAUGAAUGGAGUAAAUAGUUCUAAUGGAGUGGUAAGUUGUUUUCUCUGUCCCACUUGUUCCUUGGAGUUGACAGUUGCUUUGUACUUAACAUCAGGAGCUUUUAGACUGGGCCCAAUUCCUAGGUUCUUUGGUUAUUUGUUGAUAAACUGUAUCACUGUGCAUAGGAGCACAGAUUUGGGAUGGGGCCUGUUUCCCAAUUAUAUCUGGCGAUCACUCAUAUAGCACUUACCCUGGGCUAGUUCUGUGCUGGUCGCUUUGAAAUAUGAGCUCUUUCCUCAUGC
rnacentral:lncRNA from 1 species